UUCCUUCCAUCUCCUCAGCUCCACAUUCACAGGACUCUCUUCUUCAAGAGAAAGGCCUCAUGAAGGGGAGCACGGCCACUGGACCUCUGGAAGGCACAUCACAGCAAUCACUGACAUUCCGAGAUGUGGCCAUCGACUUUUCCCAAGAAGAGUGGGGAUUCCUGGACCCCGCUCAGAGAGAACUGUACACAGCUGUGAUGUUGGAGACUUACCAGAACCUGGUCUGGCUGGGCAUAUCUGUUGCUGAGCCCAACAUAGCCUUCCUACUGGAGCAAGGCCCACAGCCCUGGGUGAUCAGGGAGGAGGAUGCAGGAGCUCCAGGAGCAGAGAAUGAGUCAACACAGAAGAGUAAGGAAUUGUCUUUAAGGAAGAGGAUAAAAGGAGAAACACACCAACAUGAGAGAGUGAUGAAAAAAACGAGCAGCACGGGUAGAGACUAUGAAAAGGCCUCCAGCACCAGGGCAUACCUCGUCAUCCAUCAGAAGAUGAAGAAGGAAGAGAAGUGCUACCAGUGCUUCGAGUGUGGGAAAUCCUUCUGUCGCCGAUCGACUCUCAUCCAGCAUCAGAGGGUCCACACGGGAGAGAGACCCUAUCAGUGCAGCGAGUGCAGCAAAGCCUUCAACCAGAAGGCCCACCUCGCCCAACACCAGCGCACCCACACGGGCGAGAAGCCCUACACCUGCGGGCAGUGCACACGGGCCUUCAGCCAGGUGACACACCUCACCCAGCACCAGAUCAUCCACACCGGAGAGAAGUUCCAUUGCUGCAGCGAGUGUGGGAAAGCCUUUAGCCGCCCCUCCGCCCUUGCGGACCACCAGAGAAUCCACAGUGGAGAGAAACCCUUCAAGUGCAAGGCCUGCGGCAGAGCCUUCACACAGAGCGCCCAGCUCCUCAGACACCAGAAGAUCCACUCUGAAGACAAGCCCUACAGAUGCAGCAAGUGCCCCAAGUCCUUCAUCCGUCUCUCUUCCCUGACGGAGCACCAGAGGACUCACACCGGAGAGAAGCCCUAUCAAUGUGAGGACUGCCCGAAGGCCUUCUGCCGCCUCGUGCAGCUCACUCAGCACCAGAGGACCCACACUGGUGAGAAGCCCUACACGUGUCAGGAAUGCGGCCGGGCCUUCACCUGCAGGUCCCAUUUCACUGUCCACAGGCGGAGUCACACAGGAGAGAGACCCUAUGAAUGUCAGGUGUGCCGGAAAACCUUCAACAAUCACUCCUCCCUGGUGACGCAUGACAGGACUCACAGUGGAGUGAAGCCCUUCAGGUGCGAUGCGUGUGGGAAGGCCUUCAGCACUUCCUCCUCGCUCUGUCAACAUAAGAGGAUUCAUACUGGGGAAAAGCCCUACAGUUGCCACAAAUGUGGGAAGUCCUUCAGGUGCAGGUCACACCUUAGUCGACAUCAGCAAACUCAUACAGGAGAAUACUGA
rnacentral:lncRNA from 1 species